CGGAGCGUGGCGCAGUCUGGUAGCGCACCUGCUUUGGGAGCAGGGGGUCGCCAGUUCGAAUCUGGCCGCUCCGACCA
rnacentral:tRNA from 1 species